GUCACUGCUAUCGGGGUUCGAUUAAGCCAUGCGAGUCGAGAGGGUUCGGCCCUCGGCGUACUGCUCAGUAACACGUGGAUAACCUGCCCUAGGGAAGGGGAUAACCCCGGGAAACUGGGGAUAAUACCCUAUAGAUUACAGAUGCUGGAAUGCCCUGUAAUCCAAAGUUCCGACGCCCUAGGAUGGAUCUGCGGCCGAUUAGGUUGUUGUUGGGGUAAUGGCCCAACAAGCCCGUAAUCGGUACGGGUUGUGGGAGCAAGAGCCCGGAGUUGGAUUCUGAGACACGAAUCCAGGCCCUACGGGGCGCAGCAGGCGCGAAAACUUUACAAUGCGGGCAACCGUGAUAAGGGAACCUCGAGUGCCUGUAAAUGCAGGCUGUUCAGGUGCCUAAAACACACCUGAAGAAAGGGCCGGGCAAGACCGGUGCCAGCCGCCGCGGUAAUACCGGCGGCUCGAGUGGUGGCCGCUUUUAUUGGGCUUAAAGCGUUCGUAGCUGGGUUGUUAAGUCUCUUGGGAAAUCUGGCGGCUUAACCGUCAGGCGUCUAAGGGAUACUGGCAAUCUUGGAACCGGGAGAGGUGAGGGGUACUUCGGGGGUAGGAGUGAAAUCCUGUAAUCCUCGAGGGACCACCUGUGGCGAAGGCGCCUCACCAGAACGGCUUCGACAGUGAGGGACGAAAGCUGGGGGAGCAAACCGGAUUAGAUACCCGGGUAGUCCCAGCCGUAAACUAUGCGCGUUAGGUGUAUCGGUGACCACGAGUUACCGGGGUGCCGAAGGGAAACCGUGAAACGUGCCGCCUGGGAAGUACGGUCGCAAGGCUGAAACUUAAAGGAAUUGGCGGGGGAGCACCACAACAGGUGGAGCCUGCGGUUUAAUUGGACUCAACGCCGGGAAGCUCACCGGAUAAGACAGCAGAAUGAUUGCCGGGCUGAAGACUCUGCAUGACUAGCUGAGAGGAGGUGCAUGGCCGUCGUCAGUUCGUACUGUGAAGCAUCCUGUUAAGUCAGG
rnacentral:rRNA from 1 species